AGAGUUUGAUCCUGGCUCAGGAUGAACGCUAGCUACAGGCUUAACACAUGCAAGUCGCGGGGCAGCAUGAAGGAUGCUUGCAUCCUUUGAUGGCGACCGGCGCACGGGUGAGUAACGCGUAUCCAACCUGCCUGUUACCACGGCACAGCCCGUCGAAAGGCGGAUUAAUGCCGUAUGUGGUCCUUUGCGGGCAUCUAAUUAGGACUAAAGGUUCAGCGGUAACAGAUGGGGAUGCGUCCGAUUAGCUAGACGGCGGGGUAACGGCCCACCGUGGCUACGAUCGGUAGGGGUUCUGAGAGGAAGGUCCCCCACACUGGAACUGAGACACGGUCCAGACUCCUACGGGAGGCAGCAGUGAGGAAUAUUGGUCAAUGGGCGUAAGCCUGAACCAGCCAAGUAGCGUGAGGGAAGACUGCCCUAUGGGUUGUAAACCUCUUUUGUGCGGGGAUAAAGUGAGGGACGUGUCCCUUAUUGCAGGUACCGCACGAAUAAGGACCGGCUAAUUCCGUGCCAGCAGCCGCGGUAAUACGGAAGGUCCGGGCGUUAUCCGGAUUUAUUGGGUUUAAAGGGAGCGCAGGCCGUCCUUUAAGCGUGCUGUGAAAUGCCGCGGCUCAACCGUGGCACUGCAGCGCGAACUGGAGGACUUGAGUACGCACGAGGUAGGCGGAAUUCGUGGUGUAGCGGUGAAAUGCUUAGAUAUCACGAAGAACUCCGAUUGCGAAGGCAGCUUACCGGAGCGCAACUGACGCUGAGGCUCGAAAGCGCGGGUAUCGAACAGGAUUAGAUACCCUGGUAGUCCGCGCGGUAAACGAUGGAUGCCCGCCGUUGGGUUUUAGAAUUCAGCGGCCAAGCGAAAGCGUUAAGCAUCCCACCUGGGGAGUACGCCGGCAACGGUGAAAC
rnacentral:rRNA from 1 species